rnacentral:rRNA from 1 species
GACGAACGCUGGCGGCGUGCUUAACACAUGCAAGUCGAACGGAAAGGCCCUGCUUUUGUGGGGUGCUCGAGUGGCGAACGGGUGAGUAACACGGGAGUAACCUGCCCUUGACUUUGGGAUAACUUCAGGAAACUGGGGCUAAUACCGGAUAGGUGCUCCUGCUGCAUGGUGGGGGUUGGAAAGUUUCGGCGGUUGGGGAUGGACUCGCGGCUUAUCAGCUUGUUGGUGGGGUAGUGGCUUACCAAGGGUUUGACGGGUAGCCGGCCUGGGAGGGUGAUCAGCCACAUUGGGACUGAGAGACGGCCCAGACUCCAACGGGAGGCAGCGGUGGGGAAUAUUGCACAGUGGGCGGGAGCCUGAUGCGGCGACGCCGCGUGCGGGAUGACGGCCUUCGGGUUGUAAACCGCUUUCGCCUGUGACGAAGCGUGAGUGACGGUAAUGGGUAAAGAAGCACCGGCUAACUACGUG